ensembl:miRNA Mir3060 microRNA 3060
GGGCGUGGGGGUGGGGAGUGCUUCGUGCUUCUGGUUGAAGAGAAAAUGACCAUAGCACAGAAGCACUCCCACCAGCUUUGUCU